UCCCCUCUUGCACAAUCUAGCCUCUUGUCUCUGAAAAGGAUGGAGCCUCGGAGCACAUUUCGCACCGCCCUCUUCGUCUGCAUUGUGGGGGGCGUCCUGUCAAGCGAGCAGAUAUCACCUGACCCAGGGGCAGAAAUCAAGUACUACAAGGUUGGAUCCAGUACGUGCCUCCAGUGCCCAGAAGGCUUUUACUCGGAUAGUCGUUGCUCCAAGGAUGUGAAGGAAUGCAAGCCGUGUGAAAAAGAAUAUUACUGGACCACAAAGCAAGAUCGGCCGAUCUGCAACCGCUGUACACUCCCCUGUAAUGGUAACCUAGUUGAAGUGAAUGACUGCACAAAGAAACAAAACCGGGUGUGCCAGUGCAAGCCAGGAAUGUACUGCAAAAAUCCAACUCAGUUCUCCUGUCGAACGUGCAUUGCACACAGUCCUUGUCAGAAAGACUGGGGUGUGGAGGAGCCAGGAAAUGCUUCCUUUGACACCAAAUGUAAGCAGUGUCCAACUGGAACUUUCUCAGAUACAGUGUCUCUGACUGAAAAAUGCCAACGCUAUAAAGUGACCACAGUGAAGCCAAGCAGCACCUACCAAACUGAUUCACCAGCUAAGCAAGCUACACAUGCUAAGGAUCAGCCCCAUACUCUUGUUACCGAGCGUAUCAACCAAACUGAGUUUCCAGCCACAAGCCCUCACCCUACCCUCCAGUUGUUCCUCAGCAGUACUACACCUGGCAGUGACGUCCCAGUGAUCACUGAAACCACCACCACUCAAGUUCCACCUUUGGGAGAAGUUCACAUAAUCAGCUUUCUCGCUGUGAUGCUGCUCAUUAUCCUGCUUCUACUUAUGUUGCCACAUGUGAGGCAGAGACUUAAGAAGUUCCUGAAGGGACUAUGUGGUGUCAAGUCCUUUCCCAAGAAUGGAGGGGUGCUUGACAGUGGUCACAAUAAAAAUCACUACCACAUGCAACUACUGAAGAAGAACAACUCAAACCCUAAAAUAGAGAGAUCCUUGUACACUGAUGCUGCUACUGUGAGCUGUGAACAUGACAGACCUGAGGUCCUAUCUCCUGAAAACAGGGUGCAACAAUUUGUUGUAGAACCUAAGGGGGGAGAUAAUGUCAACAACAACAUUGGUUCCAUCUUCAUUCUGCAUCCCAGCACGGUGAUUCUUGGUUCUGUAUCUGAGUCGGGGAAGAAAGGCAAACACGAGGAACGGCAAAGGGGCAAUGUGGAGAAAAUCGAAGAGAACAGGUUGUGUAAAAAAGAGCCCUUUAUCAGUGUUCCACAACAAGAAUCCAUGCAGUACCCUAGCAAUGAAACUAUCUCAGUGGAAGACGUCAUUUGUUCCAAAAGUUGUGUGGAAGAGGUGGGAAACAAGGAGCUUCAAUAUCCUGUCCCGGCUACAGGGAAAUAAAUCAGCUGGAAGUCAGUAUGGAUCACAACGAUCUCUCUCUAUUAGUGUGACCUCUGCUGGACCACUGUUACACUGGCCAGGCUGUGAUAGGUGGGGUGUAUGGACUCCAGCAGUGCUACAUUUGUAUUUUGGAGUCAGGAGGUUCUUUGAAAUACAAGGAUGAAGCUUUAAUUAAAUCACCAAGGCAUCGUUCAUCCACUUGAAAUGAACCUGGACUCGGUUGUUAAGCACAUACAGUAAACUGGUCUUCAGUGGUAUUGAAUUGAAAGAGAACCUUAGGAACUUUUCUUAUUUUUCUAUCUGGCCUUCGUUCUUGGAUUAUGCAGACAACAGACCACAUUGUGAUGUCAGAUAUGAACUGUACUGGCUUUCUGAUUUUAAUGUGCACUUCACCGGAGUACCAGAUUUAGAAUACACUGGCAGCUUGAAGGAGAAGAACCCAAAAGAGACUCUAUCCAAGGACAGUGGCAGAUGUUUGACGAUGUGCUGAGAGAGUGGCACAAGACACAGGCUGCCCAUUAAGCUCUUAUUGUGCAGGGCAUUCUAGCCUGGCACUUUACAUUCAAAUACAAUGUCUUAGAAAUGCACAUUGUUGCUAUCAUUUCACUUUUCCAGUUACAAGUCCUUAUAGCAAAAGCAAUUCUUCUGGAUGACCUCUAACAUUGGAUCACGACAAAAGCAGACUGAAGCCUAACACAUUCCUAACACACAUUGAAUCCAACGUUAAAGCAUCUGACAGCUGGUGUAAACCUCCUGCUGUAGAAGUUGAAAACUUUCCUCACAUCCACGUUUUAUUCUGCAGAAUUCUGGGAAAAUAUGCCUUGCAGCAUAGAUAAAUGAAGCCAAAUUUCCCAGCGGAUCAAAAAUGAAGGAGACCAUGGCAAGAACCUCUUUAGUAGUAUGAGGCUUGUCCUAUGCUUUUGAGUUUUAGUCUGUCUGGUUCAGUAUCCUUCCUUUGGAGGAUUGUCUUUCAUUGGGUCUAAAUCUGAUCAUUUGUGAUCCUUAUUUUUUUCCAGGAUAGAGUCAAGAUUUCAAUGGCUAAUAUUUGUCUAGUUGUUAAAACUGAAACCUCCCUUAACUGUAGGCCUUUAAUGAAAAAGUCUUUCCUCUACACAUUUCCUUAACACCAUGUUGCACAACAUACUGUAGUGUUCAAGUUACACCAAACAAAUAUACGCUCAUUUGGUACUCUUUAGUUUCCUGCUGAAAAUCUCCCUGAGGCCACUAGAGAAACCUGAGCAGAGCCGAGGCCUCAGCAGGAUAUCAAACUUGGGAGAACAUGGCCUGAGUAUUGACUAUUAAAUGUGUUUCAGCCAAGGGGCCUCCUGUGGUUGGUGUUGAAAUUCCAUUUUAUUGUCUUUUUUUAUUUAUUUUUGAUUAUUUUGCUUAUGCCAAUAUAGUGUGUGGUUCCCCAAGAGGUGGGGCCACCUACCUUUCAUUGCAUAGGGUCCCUGUAAAGGCUAGGGAAACAAGUAAUCCUUUACAGUACGUGGUGGUGUUGGUGAGUUCUGCCUUUCUGUGUAACUUCAUGGAUUUUUGUUUUACCUUUUUUGCACUGCUUUCGACCAUUCUUUCAGAUUAUGUAUGGGAUCUUUUUUACCAUUUGAUUUCCAAUUUCCGGCAACUCCCUCUGUGCCUUUUGUGCUCCUCAGAACUCUUUU